GACGAACGCUGGCGGCGUGCUUAACACAUGCAAGUCGAACGCUGAAGCUUGGUGCUUGCACUGGGUGGAUGAGUGGCGAACGGGUGAGUAAUACGUGAGUAACCUGCCCUUGACUCUGGGAUAAGCCUGGGAAGCUGGGUCUAACACUGGAUACGACAUGUCACCGCAUGGUGGUGUGUGGAAAGGGUUUUACUGGUUUUGGAUGGGCUCACGGCCUAUCAGCUUGUUGGUGGGGUAAUGGCUCACCAAGGCGACGACGGGUAGCCGGCCUGAGAGGGUGACCGGCCACACUGGGACUGAGACACGGCCCAGACUCCUACGGGAGGCAGCAGUGGGGAAUAUUGCACAAUGGGCGGAAGCCUGAUGCAGCGACGCCGCGUGAGGGAUGACGGCCUUCGGGUUGUAAACCUCUUUCAGCACGGAAGAAGCGAAAGUGACGGUACGUGCAGAAGAAGCGCCGGCUAACUACGUG
rnacentral:rRNA from 1 species